GAUCAAGCUACAAAGGGCGCACGGUGAAUGCCCUGGCACUAGGAGCCGAUGAAGGACGUGAUAAGCUGCGAUAAGCUACAUGUAGGCGCACACAGCCUGUGAUAUGUAGAUUUCCGAAUGGGGAAACCCAUCUAGUUAUGCUAGAUACUGUAUACCGAAUACAUAGGUAUAUGGAGGUACACCUGGGGAACUGAAACAUCUAAGUACCCAGAGGAAGAGAAAGAAAAUUCGAUUCCCUAAGUAGCGGCGAGCGAAAGGGGAAGAGCCCAAACCAGGAACUUGUUCCUGGGGUUGCGGAUAGAUCAUAAUGCUUUGAUUUCUUUAGUUGAAGAGAACUGGAAAGUUCCGUCGUAGAAGGUAAUAACCCUGUAGGCGAAAAGGAAAGAAAAGUAGAUCUACUCCAGAGUACCACGAGACACGUGAAACCUUGUGGGAAGCUGGGAGGACCAUCUCCCAAGGCUAAAUACUACCUAGUGACCGAUAGUGAAGCAGUACCGUGAGGGAAAGGUGAAAAGAACCCCGGAAGGGGAGUGAAAUAGAAUCUGAAACCGUGUGCCUACAAUCGGUCGGAGCACAUUAAAGUGUGACGGCGUACUUUUUGUAGAACGGGCCAGCGAGUUACGAUAUAUAGCGAGGUUAAGCACUUAUGGUGUGGAGCCGAAGGGAAACCGAGUCUGAAUAGGGCAACUAGUUGUAUAUUGUAGACCCGAAACCGGGUGACCUAUCCAUGGCCAGGAUGAAGCGGAAGUAAAAUUCCGUGGAGGUCCGAACCACGUUGGUGUUGAAAAACCAUGGGAUGAGCUGUGGAUAGCGGAGAAAUUCCAAUCGAACUCGGAGAUAGCUGGUUCUCCUCGAAAUAGCUUUAGGGCUAGCGUCGGGUAAUUGAGUAGUGGAGGUAGAGCACUGAAUGGGCUAGGGGCUGACAACAGUUACUGAACCCUAUCAAACUCCGAAUGCCAUAUACUUGUACCCCGGCAGUCAGACUACGAAUGAUAAGAUCCGUGGUCAAAAGGGAAACAGCCCAGACCAUCAGCUAAGGUCCCAAAGUGUAAGUUAAGUGGGAAAGGAUGUGGGAUUUCUAAGACAACUAGGAUGUUGGCUUAGAAGCAGCCACUCAUUUAAAGAGUGCGUAAUAGCUCACUAGUCGAGAGAUCCUGCGCCGAAGAUGUAACGGGGCUCAAACUUACCACCGAAGCUAUGGAUGUGUACUAUGUACACGUGGUAGAGGAGCUUUCUGUACAGGUUGAAGUCAUACCGUAAGGAGUGGUGGACAGUACAGAAGUGAGAAUGCUGGCAUAAGUAGCGAAAAACAAGUGAGAAUCUUGUUGACCGAAUAUCUAAGGUUUCCUGGG
rnacentral:rRNA from 1 species